rnacentral:rRNA from 1 species
AUUGAACGCUGGCGGCAGGCCUAACACAUGCAAGUCGAGCGGAGCGGCGGACGGGGGAGUAAGGCCUAGGAAUCUGCCUGGUAGUGGGGGAUAACGUUCGGAAACGGGCGCUAAUACCGCAUACUAUCAGAUGAGCCUAGGUGGGAUUAGCUAGUUGGUGGGGUAAGGGCCUACCCAGGCGACGAUCCGUAACUGGUCUGAGAGGAUGAUCAGUCACACUGGAACGGAGACACGGUCCAGACUCCUACGGGAGGCAGCAGUGGGGAAUAUUGGACAAUGGGCGAAAGCCUGAUCCAGCCAUGCCGCGUGUAUGAAGAAGGUCUUCGGGUUGUAAAGCACUUUAAGUUAGGAGGCGUUACCAGCAGAAGAAGCACCGGCUAACUUCGUGCCAGCAGCCGCGGUAAUUC